rnacentral:rRNA from 1 species
AGCAGUCGCCGCGGUAAUACGUAGGGUGCGAGCGUUAAUCGGAAUUACUGGGCGUAAAGCGUGCGUAGGCGGUUCGUUAAGACAGAUGUGAAAUCCCCGGGCUUAACCUGGGAACUGCAUUUGUGACUGGCGAGCUAGAGUAUGGCAGAGGGGGGUAGAAUUCCACGUGUAGCAGUGAAAUGCGUAGAGAUGUGGAGGAAUACCGAUGGCGAAGGCAGCCCCCUGGGUCAAUACUGACGCUCAUGCACGAAAGCGUGGGGAGCAAACAGGAUUAGAUACCCCAGUAGUCCCUGUCUCUUAUAC